GAUGAGGUUAAUAGGUUCGAGGUGGAAGCAUGGUGACAUGUGGAGCUGACGAAUACUAAUCGAUCGAAGACUUAAUCAAAUU
rnacentral:rRNA from 1 species